GGGCCCAUAGCUCAGCGGUAGAGCGGCCGGCUCAUAACCGGCUGGUCCUUGGUUCGAAUCCAGGUGGGCCCACCA
rnacentral:tRNA from 2 species